rnacentral:rRNA from 1 species
GACGAACGCUGGCGGCGUGCUUAACACAUGCAAGUCGAACGGAAAGGCCCUGCUUUUGUGGGGUGCUCGAGUGGCGAACGGGUGAGUAACACGUGAGUAACCUGCCCUUGACUUUGGGAUAACUUCAGGAAACUGGGGCUAAUACCGGAUAGGAGCUCCUGCUGCAUGGUGGGGGUUGGAAAGUUUCGGCGGUUGGGGAUGGACUCGCGGCUUAUCAGCUUGUCGGUGGGGUAGUGGCUUACCAAGGCUUUGACGGGUAGCCGGCCUGAGAGGGUGACCGGCCACAUUGGGACUGAGAUACGGCCCAGACUCCUACGGGAGGCAGCAGUGGGGAAUAUUGCACAAUGGGCGGAGGCCUGAUGCAGCAACGCCGCGUGCGGGAUGACGGCCUUCGGGUUGUAAACCGCUUUCGCCUGUGACGAAGCGUGAGUGACGGUAAUGGGUAAAGAAGCACCGGCUAACUACGUG